rnacentral:lncRNA from 1 species
AUGGGCCCAAGACCCUCACAGGUGAAGCCUCGGUAGGUCCCAGGGAGAAGAAAGAUAUUCCUCCACCCCACCACCCCUCUAAGUCCGACCCACCUUUCUCCCCGCCAGCUGCAUCAGAUCCCUCCAGGGGCUCAUUGUCAGUCCUGUAAUCUUUUCGUCCGUGAUAGGAUGGGCCGUGGGCCCUUGUGAGUGAAGCUCGGCGGUUCCCGAGUCCAUGUGGGGUGGCCCCUGCGGAGCCUGGAGCCUUCUUGCCCGCUGGCUUGCUGAUCCCGCUGAGCCAGCUCCCUUCCUGCUUUUGACGGUGAGGGAACCAGCUGGGAGGUCCUCCGAGCUGGACGGGGAGGCGGGCGGCCUCUCCCACUCCCCACCCGCUCCCUCCCUGCCGCCGCCGCCUCCGGCUGCUCUUGCGACAAGCCAAGAAGCUGGGGCGCCUGCUGGGAGCCCAGCGCCGUCCUCCCGUUUCCUGUGAUCUACCAGUCCUCCUCUCCGCGGAGGCUUGGCCGGGCGCACCUGAGGCCGGCAGCAUCCCCGUGGCUUGGCGGCAGCUGCAACCUCCACAGACGGCCGCCAGGUGGCGCCACGCCGGGGCCCGAGAGCAGGCGGGCCCGGGGCGGGGUUGGAGGGACUCAGCUACGCGCCUGGGGAGGCCGCGGGCCCUCGCAGACUACCGAACUUCCAUUCUGCCGCCGGGUUUUCACACCUGCCGGCCCCGAGGAAACAAUGACGUUGGGAUUUUGGGGGGCCGCCCCUUGACUCGGGCGAAUGGGACACGAACGGCGACCCCUUGCUCUCUUCCAUCCGCCUGCCGCCGUUGCUGCCCACCGACUCCUACAGCUCAUUUCUCGCUCCUGCAGGCUCCAGGAAUGCAAAUAAUUUCUCACUGGGUUUUGGCGGGGGCGCGGAGCUGCGGAGAAGCGCGCGCCCGACAGCUUUCGCCGCAGCUGGGUCCCCGGGCGCUGGCGGCUGCGGCCCCCAGAUACGGGCGGAGGCUGCAAUAUGCACAUGCGGCCACAGUGUGGCUCCAGGGGCCCGCCGCGGGACACGCUCGGAGCGCGACGCCCCAUCCCAUCAUUUACGGAUCAAACCAAAUAAUCUAGAAUCAAGUUGCUGUGUGUGUCAUACUCCUCCUGUUUUUUUUCCCUAAACUUUUAGUAGAGUCAUUUACAUAGUUCAGUUUUUACCUCAGCUAUGUUACACAGUGGCAGGAAAAUAUUUUGUCUCCAAACUACAGCCCAAGUAUGAGAGCAGCGUAUCCUGAAGCUAAUUAGUAACCAGAAAAUCAGGAAGGUAAAGCAAAUCUCUGGAGGCAAGAUCUGGACUCUAUGAUAUCGCCGCUUCUCCCCACUUGAAGCGUCUCUUUGCAGUGCCGCACUUGGAGAUUUGGACUUAAUCGUUAAACAAAAAGAACAGUUACAUUCUGCCUUCCUACAGGGCAGGGGCCUAGGACUGGCAACAUUUUUGUUGUCUCUAGAAAUAGAGGGGUUAUGAGAGAGCCUCAAAAGAGAGGGCAAGAAUAACACAUCCAUUUCUCAUCAUGAGUUACCCCCUUGUAUGCCUAGAACGCGUAUGGAGACAUUCUCUUUUAGUAAAGUCAAAGAGAAAAGCCAUGAACUAAGUAUCCUGAACACAGAGGCGUGAGCCCUCUCAGUCUCACAGUCCCUUAGGAGUCAUUUAUCUCAGAAGUUGGUUGAAACAAAAACAGUUCAUACAGCAUGGUAGGCAGAAUUCUAAAAUGAUCCCAAUGACUCACUCCCUUGCAUAAUCCCCUUGAGUGUGGGUGGAACCUAUGACUUGCUUCUAGCCAACAGAAUAUGACAAGGGUGAUGAAAUGUCACUCUUGGGAUUGCUACAUUAUGUAAGACUCUAUCUUAGCAGUCUGGAUGGAAAGUCUCCUCCUGAACUUGAAGAGGUAAGCUGCCACGCCAGGAGAGGGCCUGCAAGAGUGCCACAAGGCAAGGGCCUCUAGGAGCUGAGAGUGGCCCCCCACUGAUGGGCAGCAAGAAAGCAGGAACCUCAGUCCUACAACCACAAAGAACUGAAUUCUGCCAGUGACCUUGUGAGCCUGGAAGAGCUGCAAAAAGAAACACAGCAAAGUCAACACCCUAACUGCAGCCUUGGAAGACUCUCAGCAGAGCACUCAGCUAAGCUGUGAUGGGAGUCCUGACCCAUGGAAACUGGAAGAUCUUAAAUGUAUGUUGUUGCUAAAUUUGUUACACAGCAAUAGAAAACAAAUACACUCCAACUCUUGACAAAUUUGUUAAUAGGACCACGCAUCCUGAGACAAACACACAGAAGGGCAAACAUCCAGAUAUAAACAUCCUACUACAUUGAUAUGAAUACUCACAUAUGUAAGAUCAAUGAUAUCACUAGCAAAACAAGCUCCAAGUCAAUGGGUUUUUCCUUUCGACAAACACCUCUACACAUAACCAAAAAUGCUUCAACUACUUUUCUUUUCUCCAGAGGCAGUUGGUUUGGCUAAGUAAAAAUGGGGUUCUUAGGAGACUAAGGCGGAAAAGAGACAAUAGUGCCUUUUUCCCCUCCAGAACUUAUCUAAGAAUGGAAGACAGGUGUUUCUAUGCUAUACAUAGCAUGAAUUUUACAGUCAUGGAUACUGAUAUAAUGCUUCCAAAUAGAAUUAAUUCUCUUCCCUCCCUUAUUCCCACCCACAGCCAGCAGAUGCUGAAAGACUGCACUGCCCAAACACUGCCAUCUUUGCUUUAUAUAUCCAAAAGAGUGGGAAAUGCUGUCACAUCUCCAUCAGAAACUGUCAAACACUAGUAAUGGUAGAAAAUAUCUGAAUGACACAAUUAAUAGGCUUGAUUUUGUGGAUGCUCUACUUUAGAAAGAAAAUUCAUAUGCUUUUCAAACACACAUGCAAUAUUAGAAAAAUUAAGUGUGAACUAGACCACAAAGCAAUUUUCAACAAAUACUAAUGAACUGAUACCAUGUUUAACACAAAUUCUAACCAAAGUGCUAUAACAUUAGAAAUCAAUAACAAAAAACUACCCUCCAAAAAACAUCUAAGUAAUUCAUGAAUAAAAUAAUGUAUAAUGGAAAUUUAUGAGUUUUUAAACUUAAGUGGUAAUGGUAGUAUUAUAUAUCAAAACUCAAGAGAUGCAGCUUUUAGCAGACAUUACUAAUUUCCUACUCAACAAUCAUUCCCCUACCUUCAUGACUUUGGUGUCAGCCAUAUGAUUAGGGCUCGGGUCCACCAACCAGCUGCAUUUUCUUGGUCUUAGCAUAUACUGAUUAAAUUGAAAUGACUAAGAGUCAGUGAGCUGCAAUUGAAUUCCCCAUGGCUGACUGUGGCGAAACAUUUUAAAAUAGGGCAUAGACAGCACCAACCAAAAAUGUUGGUGUAUUGUACUGUAGUAAAAUUAACAAGUCUUGUUCAUUGAAAACAAACAAAACUUUAAUAUUAUAGUGAAAAGAAAAGCCACAGAGUGGGAGAAGAUAUUUAAGACUCUUGAAAAAGGACUUAUAUCCAGAAUAUAUAAAUAACUCCUAUAAGUCAGUAAGAAAAAGACAGACAAUAGAAAAAUUAUCAAAAAGACCUUACAAAAAAGGAUACCCAAAUAGGUAAUAAAUGUGAAAAAUGGUCAAUAUCAUAGUCAUUAGGGAAAUGCUUAAUUUGCAUUUGUAUAUCCAAAAGAGUGGGAAAUUGUAACAUACCUCCAUCAGAUACUGUUGAACAUUAGUAAUGGUAGAAAAUAUUUGAAACAUGUAAACAAAAAUAUCCACAGCAUUACUAUUUGUAAGUGGUCAAAACCAGAAGCAACCCGAGCCCCUCAGCAGAAUGGGAAAAUAUGAAAUAUACAGUAAUAAGAACAAAUGAACUUCAAUUUACAACAUGUAUACAGUUCACAAUCAUAAUGUUGAGAAAAAUAAACCAGACACAAAAGAGUACAUCCUGUCCCAUACCGUAGCCCUUUAUAUGAAGUUCAAAAACAGGCAAAAAACCUAUGGUGCUGGAAGUCAGUGUCAGGGGUGGACUAGAAAUGGGCAAGAAGGAGUUUCUGAGGUGCUGGAAAUGUCUAAAAUAGAUCUGGAUGCUGUUUACUUUGAAAAAAUUUACUGUGGCGUACAUUUAUGGCUUAUUGUACAUAAGUUAUAUUUCAAUGAAAAUUCACAUUAAAAUGUAAUGUAAAAAAGA